CGGCGGACGGGUGAGUAACACGUCGAGGAACCUGCCUUACACAGGGGAAGUAACACCGUGAAAACGGUGCUAAUACCGCAUAACACCGCACUAUGGCAUCAUAGAACGGCCAAAGGAGAAAUCCGGUGUAAGAUGGCCUCGCGCCCGAUUAGUUAGUUGGUGGGGUAAUGGCCUACCAAGACUGCGAUCGGUAGCCGGACUGAGAGGUCGAACGGCCACAUUGGAACUGAGAGACGGUCCAGACUCCUACGGGAGGCAGCAGUGGGGAAUAUUGGGCAAUGGGGGAAACCCUUGACCCAGCAACGCCGCGUGAAGGAAGAAGGCCUUCGGGUUGUAAACUUCUUUGAUCAGGGAAGAAACAAAUGACGGUACCUGAAAAACAAGCCACGGCUAACUACGUGCCAGCAGCUGC
rnacentral:rRNA from 1 species